rnacentral:tRNA from 1 species
UCCCUGGUAGUCCAGUGGUUAAGAUUCUGUGCUCCCAAUGCAGGGGGGCGUGGGUUCAAACCCUGGUCAGGGAA